rnacentral:rRNA from 1 species
CGACGCUGAUUAUCGAAAGCUUGCUUUUGAUAUGAUGAGUGGCGAACGGGUGAGUAACACGUGGGAAACCUACCUCUUAGCAGGGGAUAACAUUUGGAAACAGAUGCUAAUACCGUAUAACAGUUAAAACCGCAUGGUUUUAAUUUAAAAGAUGGUUCUGCUAUCACUAAGAGAUGGUCCCGCGGUGCAUUAGCUAGAUGGUGAGGUAACGGCUCACCAUGGCGAUGAUGCAUAGCCGAGUUGAGAGACUGAUCGGCCACAAUGGGACUGAGACACGGCCCAUACUCCUACGGGAGGCAGCAGUAGGGAAUCUUCCACAAUGGGCGCAAGCCUGAUGGAGCAACGCCGCGUGUGUGAUGAAGGGUUUCGGCUCGUAAAGCACUGUUGUAAGAGAAGAAUGACAUUGAGAGUAACUGUUCAGUGUGUGACGGUAUCUUACCAGAAAGGGACGGCUAAAUACGUGCCAGCAGCCGCGGUAAUACGUAUGUCCCAAGCGUUAUCCGGAUUUAUUGGGCGUAAAGCGAGCGCAGACGGUUAUUUAAGUCUGAAGUGAAAGCCCUCAGCUCAACUGAGGAAUUGCUUUGGAAACUGGAUGACUUGAGUGCAGUAGAGGAAAGUGGAACUCCAUGUGUAGCGGUGGAAUGCGUAGAUAUAUGGAAGAACACCAGUGGCGAAGGCGGCUUUCUGGACUGUAACUGACGUUGAGGCUCGAAAGUGUGGGUAGCAAACAGGAUUAGAUACCCUGGUAGUCCACACCGUAAACGAUGAGUGCUAGGUGUUUGGGGGUUUCCGCCCCUAAGUGCCGCAGCUAACGCAUUAAGCACUCCGCCUGGGGAGUACGACCGCAAGGUUGAAACUCAAAGGAAUUGACGGGGACCCGCACAAGCGGUGGAGCAUGUGGUUUAAUUCGAAGCAACGC